AAAUAAUAACUUUCUUCGAAAUAGGCAUCAGUUUUCAAAACAACUUCCAUCCAAGAAACACAAGUAUCGCAGAAUUUCUAAAAAUGAAGUCCAUAUUUAUUCCAUUGUUAUGUUUGUUGGGAACACCAUUCGUAGCCUCGACCACCUACACCAGAAAUUUGGUGCCGUUGGCAACUUUUCCAGUAGCUCGUUAUGCCGUUCCUGUGACUGUAACACGAGAAAUUAUCCCAGCUGCCUCUGUGCCAGUAACUAUUCCUGUAGUUCAAUAUACUGCUCCGACUGUGGUGCGCCAUUUAACUCCAGUUACCACUACCACAUUGCUUCGCCCGGCUAUUAUUUCAACUAGAACUGAUUUUCUACAAAAGGCAUAUUAAAAAAUGACAACAUAUGAGAGCGGAGCAUGUUCAUUCGAUGGAGCUAACAAUUCAAUUGACAUUUACUUUUUUAAAUAAAUAACGAAGCACUACAAAA